rnacentral:SRP_RNA from 1 species
GCUGGGUGCGGUGCCGCGUGCCUGUAAUCCCAGCUACUCGGGAGGCUGAGACAGGAGGAUUGCUUGAACCCGGAAGGCGGAGGUUGCAGUGAGCUGAGAUCACGCCACUGCACUCCAGCCUGGGCGACAGAGCAAGACUCUGUCUCAA